UAGGUCCAUCCAGCAUCAUUUAUCACCUACCAAUUGGAUAUUUGCUAACUUUGUAUACCAGGACAGUGUAUUGGAAAAACUGUACAAAGUUCACGACUUAGAUUACAUAUUAAACGCUAGUAAAGAUAAGGUUUUCUGUCAUUUGGGGUCAGUGGAAAAUGCUGGUCACACAACAUUGACAUAUAAUCACAUUAUAAAGUUGGUUUUCCAACACAUGUUUGCUUAUAGUUACACAUCCAGCAGUUACAGAGCAACAUUAUGAUUUAUUUGAAGUCGGGAUUCUGGCCAUUGGAUGAAUGGUCUCCAGGUCUCCAAACAGACUCUCUAGGAUGGCAUUAGCAAUAGGGAGCAUCAUGGCUGUGGUGGCGGUGUUGCUGAGCCACAUGGACAGGAAGGACGAGUGAGGACCUUUAGGGCGAUUCUGCGAUGCAGGCCCCACUCCUCGAUGGACGACGCCAUCACAAGACCGCUGAGGAAGAGAAAAUUGGUUUCCAGGAAGUACUGAGGACAGACUGUUUUGGAUGGAAGAAUUCCCAGU